rnacentral:rRNA from 1 species
UACGUAGGUGGCGAGCGUUGUCCGGAUUUACUGGGCGUAAAGAGCGCGCAGGCGGUCGUACAAGUCGCGUGUGAAAGCCCCCGGCUCAACUGGGGAGGGUCACGCGAUACUGUUCGACUCGAAGGCAGGAGAGGGAAGCGGAAUUCCCGGUGUAGUGGUGAAAUGCGUAGAUAUCAGGAGGAACACCGGUGGUGUAGACGGCUUUCUGGACCGUAACUGACGCUGAGACACGAAAGCGUGGUAGCAAACAGG